UACGGUAGGGGGCAAGCGUUGUCCGGAUUUAUUGGGCGUAAAGAGCGUGUAGGCGGUUUGGUAGGUCCGCUGUGAAAACUCGAGCUCAACCUCGAGACGCCGGUGGAAACCAUCAGACUAGAGUCCGGAAGAGGGAGAGUGGAAUUCCGUGGUGUAGCGGUGGAAAUGACGCAGAUAUCAGGAAGAACACCCGUGGCUAAGGCGGCUCUCUAGUACGGUACUGACGCUGAGACGCGAAAGCGUGGGGAGCGAACAGG
rnacentral:rRNA from 1 species